rnacentral:rRNA from 1 species
UUCGCAAUGCCCGAAAGGGUGACGAAGCGACGCCGCGUGCGGGAGGAAGGCCUUCGGGUUGUAAACCGCUGUCGGGAGUUAAGAAAUGCAAGAAUGUUAAUAGCGUUCUUGCUUGACUAAGGCUCCGGAGGAAGCCACGGCUAACUCUGUGCCAGCAGCCGCGGUAAUACAGAGGCGGCAAGCGUUGUUCGGAAUUAUUGGGCGUAAAGAGCACGUAGGCGGCCUUGCAAGUCAGUUGUGAAAGCCUUCCGCUUAACGGAAGAACGGCAUCUGAUACUACAGGGCUUGAGUACGGGAGGGGAGAGUGGAACUUCUGGUGGAGCGGUGAAAUGCGUAGAUAUCAGAAGGAACGCCGGCGGCGAAAGCGACUCUCUGGUCCGAAACUGACGCUGAGUGUGCGAAAGCUAGGGGAGCAAACGGGAUUAGAUACCCCGGUAGUCCUAGCCGUAAACGAUGGGCACUAAGUAGAGGGGUUUU